CGGAAAGAUUGUUGUAAACUUGAACAUGAACAGUUUUCGCAUUUGCAAAAGAAAACAUCCACAGUGCAAUUUAAGGAGUCUGCGAUAGAGGGCACAUGAAACCAACAUGUGGGGUGGUUACAGACCCGAAAGAUCGGUUUGUAUGGUGAAAUGGUUCAGGCCAUGGUUCUUUGCCAACUGGACUACUGCAAUGCCUUGUUAGCUGGCCUACCACUUCCAACUGAGAGGAUGCCCAAAAGAAACGAGGGAAUGCAGAAACAACAUCAUAUGAUGGAAAUAUACUCCAGCUGAUAAAAGUGGUAAAG